ACUUUUCCACCUGUUUUGAAACAAAAUUUCUACUUGUAUUUGCCACAAAGGAUACUACAUUGAAGUCUUUCACAACCAGUCCCUUCUAUCCAAUUUCCUCCAACUGAAAGGGGAAGCUUGCAGUGCUCCCUCAUGGGAAGUGCAUGUUCAUGGGGAAGAUCAAGCUGUGUGAAUCCUAUUAACCCUUGCAUCAUCAUACUGUAUAAUCUUAUUCUACAGUUAACUCUCAAACCUUUGGCAGGUGCCAGGAUAUGCUUUUGGAUUCCUAUAGUUCAAAAGAGACUGAAGAGUGAGAUUUAGAGUUUGAAUCUGAAAAAAAAAAAAAACAAAACUUCCACAUAUACUUCCCCUCAGUUGUUUGAACAGGCAAUUUUUUUUUUUUUUUUUAAAUUAGUUUGAACAGUAUGAAUUGGUUUUCAGAGUUGCACUCUCCUGUGCAAUACUUAAAACUCUCCAUGACCAUUUUGGAGCUAUUUGUUAAUUUGUUGUAGCAGCCAUGCUAGUGGAUGCCCAGCCAUCCCUAUCUUGUGCCUAUAAAACACGAGGGGGCUAGGAAAGGCAAAACAGCCGGAAUUAAUGAAGAAAAUAAAUGGCCUAGGUGGAAAUGCAGGCUAAUAAUAAAGAAACUACAGGAGGGCCUAUCCCAGUGUGCAUUUCAUUCAAAACCCUUCUCCAGGGGCUGGGAUUGAAACAUUCAUCUGUGUGCACCAUGUUGAAAAUGGAGUGAGGACUCCACUCUACCACUCAAAAUUAUGCAAAGAAGCUUUCUUUGGGAAACUGGUAAAGGGAAGGAACGUAAAUGUCAGCUGCAUGAAAACAUUUGCUGGUGGGGGAAUCUCCCAUCAGCUUUCUCUGUGCUAGUCUCUGAAAAUGUUGUCUGAUUCUUUUAAAAAUAUAUAUAUUUGGCCUCAAAUGCCACAAGAAAAGUGAUUUGUAAAAUUUGUUUAUUUCAAUUGUUAAGUGUUACAGUAAGAUCAAUUUUAAAAAGUCGACACCUCUUCUAUUUUUUUUCAAAGUUGCAGCAUUUUGAAGACAUUACGAUAGGUUUUAACAUACCUGAUUUCAGUCUGCCAGAUGGUUUAGAUCUGUAGAGUGACACUUGCUGAACAGCCCUUAGAGCAUUUCAAGUAAGGCAAGUUUUUUGGGUUUUUUGUGGUUUGUUUAUUUGUGUGUGCGUGUGUGUAAUAUUGGCUUUACCAACACAAUCCUCGGAUGUCUGAGUUUGGCUUUCACGGUAAAGCUUUCAGCCUUGCAAUGCUGAUGCUUUCCACACUACCUGUCAGAUGUGUGGUCAGGAAGAUGCUUGCUCACAUCCUUUGCACACAAAGGGUUAUGGCUUCCAUUCAGACUAAACUCAGGAUCCCUUGUUUGGCCACAAAGCCUCUUUGGUACCCCAACUCUCGUGCUCUGUUCCUUAGAGUAACUUCCAAGAUUUUCUAAUUAAUAAUCUCAUCUUCCUACUUGAGAAUCUUUCUUCUGAUGGCAUGAGAAUAAAUGAAGUGUGCUCUCUGGUGCCUCAAAGGGGCUCUAUGGAGCAGAAUGAAGAUGUGAUUUUUAGCAUGGAAAAGCAUUCUUGUUCUAACUGGUAGUGUUGGGGAUGAUGCUGUAACCAUAAUGGUCCAGAAAAAAUGGGAGAGGCAAACAAUUUUUGUGAUGAUAUCUUUUACUGGACCAACUGUACAGUUGGGAGGAACAUAAGCUUUCAGAUACCACUGUCUCUGAGACCUACAGGGUACAAUGGUACCCAAAAGCUUUUCUAUCUCUUCUAACUAUGCAGUCCAAUAAAAGAUUGCCUUAAAAGUCUUUGUUCUAGUCUCAGUUUGGUCAGUAGCAAUGAUAGGGUAAACAUGGCAGCAUGGUCUUUUGUGCAUGGGCUG